rnacentral:rRNA from 1 species
AUUGAACGCUGGCGGCAUGCCUUACACAUGCAAGUCGAACGGCAGCACGGGAGCAAUCCUGGUGGCGAGUGGCGAACGGGUGAGUAAUAUAUCGGAACGUGCCCAGUCGUGGGGAUAACGUAGCGAAAGCUACGCUAAUACCGCAUACGAUCUAUGGAUGAAAGCGGGGGAUCGCAAGACCUCGCGCGAUUGGAGCGGCCGAUAUCAGAUUAGGUAGUUGGUGAGGUAAAGGCUCACCAAGCCGACGAUCUGUAGCUGGUCUGAGAGGACGACCAGCCACACUGGAACUGAGACACGGUCCAGACUCCUACGGGAGGCAGCAGUGGGGAAUUUUGGACAAUGGGCGCAAGCCUGAUCCAGCAAUGCCGCGUGCAGGAUGAAGGCCUUCGGUUGUAAC